GCAGUCGACGAACUCUUCGGAGUUAGUGGCGGACGGGUGAGUAACACGUGGGAACGUGCCUUUAGGUUCGGAAUAACUCAGGGAAACUUGUGCUAAUACCGAAUGUGCCCUUCGGGGGAAAGAUUUAUCGCCUUUAGAGCGGCCCGCGUCUGAUUAGCUAGUUGGUGAGGUAAAGGCUCACCAAGGCGACGACGGGUAGCCGGCCUGAGAGGGUGACCGGCCACACUGGGACUGAGACACGGCCCAGACUCCUACGGGAGGCAGCAGUGGGGAAUAUUGCACAAUGGGCGCAAGCCUGAUGCAGCAACGCCGCGUGAGGGACGAAGGCCUUCGGGUUGUAAACCUCUUUUAGUAGGGAAGAAGCGACUGGGUUUUCCUGGGAGUGACGGUACCUGCAGAAAAAGCACCGGCUAACUACGUGCCAGCAGCCGCGGUAAUACGUAGGGUGCAAGCAUUGUCCGGAAUUAUUGGGCGUAAAGAGCUCGUAGGCGGUUUGUCGCGUCUGCUGUGAAAACCCGAGGCUCAACCUCGGGCCUGCAGUGGGUACGGGCAGACUAGAGUGCGGUAGGGGAGAUUGGAAUUCCUGGUGUAGCGGUGGAAUGCGCAGAUAUCAGGAGGAACACCAAUGGCGAAGGCAGAUCUCUGGGCCGUAACUGACGCUGAGGAGCGAAAGCAUGGGGAGCGAACAGGAUUAGAUACCCUGGUAGUC
rnacentral:rRNA from 1 species